rnacentral:tRNA from 10 species
GCCGGUGUAGCUCAAUGGCAGAGCGCUUGCUUCCCAAGCAAGAUACGCGGGUUCGAUUCCCGUCACCGGCUCCA